rnacentral:rRNA from 1 species
GAUGAACGCUGGCGGCGUGCCUAAUACAUGCAAGUCGAGCGAACGGACGAGAAGCUUGCUUCUCUGAUGUUAGCGGCGGACGGGUGAGUAACACGUGGAUAACCUACCUAUAAGACUGGGAUAACUUCGGGAAACCGGAGCUAAUACCGGAUGAUAUUUUGAACCGCAUGGUUCAAAAGUGAAAGACGGUCUUGCUGUCACUUAUAGAUGGAUCCGCGCUGCAUUAGCUAGUUGGUAGGGUAAUGGCUUACCAAGGCAACGAUGCAUAGCCGACCUGAGAGGGUGAUCGGCCACACUGGAACUGAGACACGGUCCAGACUCCUACGGGAGGCAGCAGUAGGGAAUCUUCCGCAAUGGGCGAAAGCCUGACGGAGCAACGCCGCGUGAGUGAUGAAGGUCUUCGGAUCGUAAAACUCUGUUAUUAGGGAAGAACAUAUGUGUAAGUAACUGUGCACAUCUUGACGGUACCUAAUCAGAAAGCCACGGCUAACUACGUG